GGCGCCGUGGCUCAGUUGGUCAAAGCGCCUGUCUAGUAAACAGGAGAUCGCGAGUUCGAAUCUCGCCGGUGCCU
rnacentral:tRNA from 1 species